AUUGAACGCUGGCGGCAUGCUUUACACAUGCAAGUCGAACGGUAACAGGGUGCUUGCACCGCUGACGAGUGGCGAACGGGUGAGUAACGCGUCGGAACGUGCCGAGUAGUGGGGGAUAACGCAGCGAAAGUUGUGCUAAUACCGCAUACGUACUGAGGUAGAAAGUGGGGGACCUUCGGGCCUCACGCUAUUCGAGCGGCCGACGUCUGAUUAGCUAGUAGGUGAGGUAAAGGCUCACCUAGGCGACGAUCAGUAGCGGGUCUGAGAGGAUGAUCCGCCACACUGGGACUGAGACACGGCCCAGACUCCUACGGGAGGCAGCAGUGGGGAAUUUUUGACAAUGGGCGAAAGCCUGAUCCGGCCAUGCCGCGUGUCUGAAGAAGGCCUUCGGGUUGUAAAGGACUUUUGUCAGGGAGGAAAUCCCUAGUGCUAAUAACACUGGGGGAUGACAGUACCUGAAGAAUAAGCACCGGCUAACUACGUGCCAGCCGCCGCCGUAA
rnacentral:rRNA from 1 species